UUGGGCUAGCGUUAUCCUGUACUAUGUAGAUUGGGCUAGCGUUAUCCUGUACUAUGUAGGUUGGGCUAGCGUUAUCCUGUACUAUGUAGGUUGAGUGACAGUAUCUCCCAUCUUCUUUGGUUUCUGAUGUGAUUACUGUGUGUUGAUGUUGUUACAAUCUUGAUCUCAACACCAAGACAAAUCACCAGCAAUAAAGUCUUUAAAAAAGAGAGAAGUAAAGAA